UUUUCCUUGAGCUCAGUCGGUAGAGCACUGUGUUACCAACACAAAGAUCAUGGGUUUGAACCCCAGGGAAAG